GUUCACUACUGACAUAGAUCAACAGUGAAAAACUUGAUAGAUUAGAAUUAGGGCUAGGUUUGGUAUAAUUAAAGAAAUUAGAGAUGAAGGCAGAUCUAUUUUUAACUCAGUUGUCAAGAAAAUACACACUAUAUCCAUGUGUAGGGAUUAGAAGAAGCAAAAAAUGUUAAAUAAAUUAAAUCCACACUUGUAAUAAUUAAACUAAUGAAAUAAAAAUAACAAAUCCAUGCUGUGUUUAAAGUAUAUUAAUCAGAUACAGGAGUAAAAACUAUAAUAUUCAAUAAUACAUAUUGAACAAAAAAAGUAUUUUAUUCACCAGAAUAUUUUCUGAGAACACAAUCAAGAUAACAAAAUAAAAGUAGAAGAAGAAAGUUGGGAUAGGCAGGGG
rnacentral:misc_RNA from 1 species